rnacentral:sRNA from 1 species
GGCGAACGAGCUCAGUAACUCAAAACUGAACGCGGUGCUAAAAUCCAACAAAAAAAAAACCAAAAAAUAUACUAAAAGACUUACACAAAAAAAAAACCCUAACUCACACACCUGAGGGCGACAGCACUGGCACUUACCUGUCGUGUUGGCGAUCCGAUCAGUGCACCAUCAGCCAGCGGAGCGAACACACCAGACACCAAGCUACUAGCUACCAGCUAGCAGUCAGCACCAGCGCCCUGGACCUCUCUCUCCGGGCGCUAUCAACCUGAGUGUUAGAUAAACUGAUAAUACGACUGAAGCAAACAGCGGAAACAAACGUGGCGUUAACUGCUAUAUAUUAAAAACAAAAAAACCCUAUAUAUAUAUCACACACAUUCGCAUAACAACCGAAAGACAAUAACCGAAGUAAAACAAAAACGAGUCAGCGGCAAAGUGUCAAUAAAACUCUCGAAUUCAUUAACACAACUCAAAACGUUCUAUUAGUAAGCACUUGCAAAUUUCACUAAAAAAGCAUAUAUAUAUCUGUAUAAUAUAUGGAGGAAAUAGCUGGCGAGAGAGACGGCAACAGAGCGACAGAGAGAGAGAGAGGAUGCUAGACACAAAUUAGCGUGGCCAGCAGUCAAAAGGUCUAAUAGAAGCGCGUGUAUGCCAGUGUACUAGCCCCAUAAGUACACCCCGACGAGACCCAGAGCCAUGAUCGUAAAAACUACAUCAAAAAAAUGUAAAAAAUAGCCAGACGGGGGACUGCUGCUGUCAUGUCCUUGGCCUGUAAAAGGGCAGCGAAAUUCCUGGCACUCCAUAACAACAUCAUCAAAGGCUGCAGCGCGAUUCCCAGGAGUCCUUUCAGCGAAACCGCCGCUAACUGAACGAUGUAAGAAUUACAGAAGUACCUGAAGAAGCAACCCCCUUCUGAAAACCUGAUGCUGUUUAUGGUUUUAAUUAAACGGGGGCAACAUUGGUGCGGCUCAUUAGCGGCAAUUUGUUGGGCAUGCUGCCGUCAAAUCGAAUCGGUAGCUCUUUUCACAGAAGCCACACGGUCCCCAGAUAACCCGUCAACCAAUCCCCAAUACCCAGUACCCAAUUCUGGAUAAGCUGACACCCAGGCUCGCCUUCGAGCUCCAGUUCCCGCCACAAAAACCUGCUAAUUAUGCAUGUGUGCUGUGACGGUUGUGUCCGCGUGUCCGCAUGUCCACAUGUCCGCGUGUCGGCGGGGUUUCUUCCACCAGAAUGGUGGCCUCACUCUGUUUUUUUUACCUUAUCUAUCAAAGCGUUGCGGGGCAUAAAAUUCAGAUUGACGCUCCGGCCAGUGAAAGCGUGUGAACUGAGCUUGAAACGUGGCAGAGACCUAGCCAGAGAUAUAGAUAUGUAGACCAGCAAACAGAACGGCUAUAUAAAUUAAACCAAAACCGCAAAUAAACAUGAGGUUUUCAAAUAGAGCGAGUAGGGAAAAAAACACUAAAGAUAAGGUGCAACAAAUACGAGGGAUUGUGGAGGGAAUAUGCAUGAAAUGUAAUUUAUUUAAACCGAUUUUGUGUACAAAUUGGUGUUUUAUUUUAUAAUACAUAAUUGGAUAAUGACUCA